rnacentral:tRNA from 1 species
UUGAUGGAAGCCAAACCAGAGGCUAAUCACUGUUAAUGAUUUUAUUGAAUUUUUUAUUCCUAUCAAG